UAUAAAAUACAUAUUAUAAAUAUAAAUAUAUAUAAUAUAUAUAUUAUAUAUAAUUUUUUUUAAAAAUAAAGUUCGAUAGAAUUGAACUAGAUCGAUGAAGAAUAAAUCGAACCAAGUUUCAAAUUAGGAAAGAAUCAGUUUCAGACAGAGAUCCCGAGUUGUAAAGUUUUCUUGGAAUACAUCACGUUUUAUUCAAACGAACGAAUUGUCAAUGUAAAUAAUAUUGAAUAAUAAUAGUAAGAUUGAUACAAAAUUUUAGUUUUCUUUUUACGAAAGCAAAAAAAAAAAAAAAGAGAUCAAUUCGAAUUCAUUAUUGAGAAAAGAAGGAAUUUAAAAAAAAAAAAUUGGUAUUAUAUAUUUUCAUUUUGGAAAAAAAAAUAGAUAAAAAGUCAUUCUCAAAACCUCGGGAAAACAACGAGAAAAGAAGCCAAUAGUAAAAGAAAAAGAAAAAGAGAGAGAGAGAGAGAGAGAAAGAGAGAAUGGAAACGCAUAGAAGAGUGGAUCCGUUUAAACUUGCUCCACAAUAAUGUAUAAUAGACAAGUGUAGUUAAAAGAGAUUAAAACAAGAAAAAAAAGAAACAAAAUGAAAGAAAACAGAAACACAUUGCCUAUGCAUUAUGAGAGAGAGGGAGAGAGGAGAGAGAGAGAGAGAAGAAAACAAAAACGUUGUUUGUAAUAUCUGUACAUACAAAUUUCAAGUAAAGUAUCUUAUUUUCUUACAAACUAUAUAGCGAUGACAUUACGAAAGAAUACUUAAAAUUUUGUUGUAAUAUUAAGUAUUUAUUCAGAAUUCAUGUUGUCCCAAUAUAGUUUGCUUUAUGCACACAACUCGUCUUUUGGUGUAAUUAAAAAAAAAAAAAAAAAAGAACUAUCGUUUUUAUACAAGCUUAGGAAUAAAUGAAAUAAAAACAAAAUAAAAAAGUGCAGAACGAAAAGAAAGAGGAAAAAAUACGAGGAAAAAGGAUAAUUAGAAGGAAUACAGAAAGAAAAGAAAAAUGCGAUCUACUAAUUUUCGAUGGAGAAUGAACGAAAUUAUGGGUGAGGAUAGGAUGAGAUCAAGGAAGAGAGGCAGACGAGAAGGAAAAACCUGU